UCAUCAGGAGGAAAAAAAAAAAAAAAAAGGAAAAAGCUGUGGUUUGGAAGCAGCUGGAUGGCAAACUGCAGGCUGGGAUGUGGCUGCCAAAACCACCACAAGGAGACUGGGGCAUAGAGGCAUUUGUGGAGCAUUCUGUUUGCUGAUUGCUCGUGGAAUUUCAGUGUCUGGAUUUCUUUACUUCAACUUUUCCAUUCUUCAGACUUGAGCCAAGUUGGAAGAGAAGAGGGGGAUCUGCCAGGUGGCUGCAUCUUGGAACACAGGUAUUUCUCACAAAAUCCAGAUUGUUCUACCCUGGUUCUGAGUCUGCAUUUGGGU
rnacentral:lncRNA from 1 species